GAUGAACGCUGGCGGCGUGCCUAAUACAUGCAAGUCGAGCGAACGGACGAGAAGCUUGCUUCUCUGAUGUUAGCGGCGGACGGGUGAGUAACACGUGGAUAACCUACCUAUAAGACUGGGAUAACUUCGGGAAACCGGAGCUAAUACCGGAUAAUAUUUUGAACCGCAUGGUUCAAAAGUGAAAGACGGUCUUGCUGUAACUUAUAGAUGGAUCCGCGCUGCAUUAGCUAGUUGGUAAGGUAACGGCUUACCAAGGCAACGAUGCAUAGCCGACCUGAGAGGGUGAUCGGCAACCCUGGAACUGAGACACGGUCCAGACUCCUACGGGAGGCAGCAGUAGGGAAUCUUCCGCAAUGGGCGAAAGCCUGACGGAGCAACGCCGCGUGAGUGAUGAAGGUCUUCGGAUCGUAAAACUCUGUUAUUAGGGAAGAACAUAUGUGUAAGUAACUGUGCACAUCUUGACGGUACCUAAUCAGAAAGCCACGGCUAACUACGUG
rnacentral:rRNA from 1 species